rnacentral:tRNA from 1 species
GAAGGUAUGGCUCAGUGGUGGAGUGUAUGCUUAGCAUGCACCAGGUACUGGGUUCAAUCCCCAGUACCUCA